rnacentral:tRNA from 1 species
UGGAGUAUCGUAUAAUGGUAGUACAGAAGAUUUUGGUUCUUCUAGCAUAGGUUCGAUUCCUAUUACUCCAA